AGGGCUUGAGUUCACUGCUCUCCAGGAGAAACAUGUAAGCGCAGAGAAUGAAGCUUCUUCACAGUUAACAGCCCUGGAGGUGCAGGUUAAAAAUUUGAAGCAGGAGUUGGAUUCCUUACAGACCCAGAGAAAUGAACUGGAAUUGCAGCUUGAGAGAGAGAAACAAGAAUCAUCAGAAAGACAUUCUGAAAUGGAGAAUCAGAAAUUGGAAAAUGGUCGGUUAAGGGAGGAAAAGGUGGGGUUAGAGGAUCAAAUCUUUGAAUUAGAGAAAAAAUUGGCAGAAAGAGGGCUUGAAUUCACUGCUCUCCAGGAAAAACAUGUAAGCGCAGAGAAUGAGGCUUCUUCACAGUUAACAGCUCUAGAGGUGCAGGUUAAAAAUUUGAAGCAAGAGUUGGAUUCCUUACAGACCCAGAGAAACGAACUGGAGUUGCACCUCGAGAGAGAGAAACAAGAAUCAUCAGAAAGACUCUCUGAAAUGGAGAAUCAGAAGUUGGAGAAUGGUCAGUUAAGGGAGGAAAAGGUGGGGUUGCAGGGUCAAAUCUUAGAAUUAGAGAAAACAUUGGCAGAAAGAGGGCUUG
rnacentral:lncRNA from 1 species